GUGCCAGCAGCCGCGGUAAUACGUAGGGUGCGAGCGUUAAUCGGAAUUACUGGGCGUAAAGCGUGCGCAGGCGGUUUUGUAAGCCAGAUGUGAAAUCCCCGAGCUUAACUUGGGAACUGCAUUUGGGACUGCAAGGCUAGAGUACGGCAGAGGGGGGUAGAAUUCCUGGUGUAGCAGUGAAAUGCGUAGAUAUCAGGAGGAAUACCGAUGGCGAAGGCAGCCCCCUGGGUCGAUACUGACGCUCAUGCACGAAAGCGUGGGGAGCAAACAGGAUUAGAAACCCCCGUAGUCC
rnacentral:rRNA from 1 species